CAGACUUUACAUCGAUACGAAUCAGGAAGAAAUCGCGACAGGAAAAACGAUAGCCGGUUAGUCACCGCACAAUCCUUAAACCAAAAGUAAACCUAGGUCUUGCCCUAAACCCAGCGCACUGGUCUCUAACAUCUCAAAGGCAUGAUAUCGAAAGAUAAGAGAUUCUUAAACCACGCCUCUAUGUUUACGUUCGAUACCUUCAGCACCCCCGCAG
rnacentral:lncRNA from 1 species